UACAGAGGUCUCAAGCGUUAAUCGGAAUUACUGGGCUUAAAGGGUCCGCAGGCGGUCUGACAAGUACCUUGUGAAAUAUCAGGUCUCAACCCUGAAACUGCUCGGUAGACUGUCAGACUUGAGUGCAAAAGGGGUCGCUGGAACUCUAGGUGGAGCGGUGAAAUGCGUAGAUAUCUAGAGGAACGCCAAAGGUGAAGACAGGCGACUGGUUUGCAACUGACGCUCAUGGACGAAAGCGUGGGGAUCAAACGGG
rnacentral:rRNA from 1 species